UGGGGAAUAUUGGACAAUGGGGGCAACCCUGAUCCAGCCAUGCCGCGUGAGUGAUGAAGGCCUUCGGGUUGUAAAGCUCUUUUGGCGGGGACGAUGAUGACGGUACCCGCAGAAUAAGCCCCGGCUAACUUCGUGCCAGCAGCCGCGGUAAGACGAAGGGGGCUAGCGUUGUUCGGAAUUACUGGGCGUAAAGCGAGUGUAGGCGGUUGCCGUAGUCAGGUGUGAAAGCCUUGAGCUCAACUCAAGAAAUGCACUUGAUACUGGGUGACUAGAGGACCGGAGAGGAUAGUGGAAUUCCCAGUGUAGUGGUGAAAUACGUAGAGAUUGGGAAGAACACCAGUGGCGAAGGCGGCUAUCUGGACGGUUACUGACGCUAAGACUCGAAAGCGUGGGGAGCAAACAGGAUUAGAUACCCUGGUAGUCCACGCCGUAAACGAUGGGUGCUAGACGUUGGCGAGCUUGCUCGUCAGUGUCGCAGCUAACGCGUUAAGC
rnacentral:rRNA from 1 species